GUGAGUAUAGCUCAGUGGUAGAGCACGUGCUUAGUAUGCAUGAGGUCCUGGGUUCAAUCACUUGUACCUCCA
rnacentral:tRNA from 1 species